GACGUAGGGCGCGAGCGUUUGUCCGGAUUUAUUGGGCGUAAAGGGCUCGUAGGCGGCUUGUUGCGUCAGCUGUGAAAACCCGCAGCUCAACUGUGGGCUUGCAGCUGAUACGGGCAGGCUUGAGUUCGGUAGGGGAGACUGGAAUUCCUGGUGUAGCGGUGAAAUGCGUAGAUAUCUGGAGGAACACCGGUGGCGAAGGCGGCGUUCUGGACUGCAUCUGACACUGAAAGACGAAAGCCAGGGGAGCAAACGGG
rnacentral:rRNA from 1 species